GGCUCUUUCACCCUCUGCCUUAGGGACCUCUGACAUCUGGAGGCUGGGAGUGAGGAGAGUGUUUCCUGCUUUUGUUCCUGGAGACAAACUUUCUCCUGACAUUCAGCAUCUCUUCAGCCCAGGAGGCUCUGCAAUAUUUAAUAGACUAAGCUCUGUAAGGAGGCACUUGAUUCAACAUUUGGAAGAUCACAGCUGCAGCCAGCGUGGAAUGGGGAGGAAGAAGAGGGAGACACCGGGGUCGCAGUGCGCAGCGUGCAACCCUCUGCACCUGCCGGCCCUCUCACCUCUUCACACGGCGUUUGCUCUUUCAUUCACUCAACAACAAUUCUGUGCCCUUUAUACGUGCUGGGCACUGCUCUAGGCACUGGAGACGAUGAGGAGAAGACACUUCCCACCUUCAUGGAGCUUAUUUGCUGGUGGGGACCGCAGGUGAUAAACAGACAAAGUGCCAAGUAAUGAUAAGGGAAGAGUGUGUGUGUGUGUGUGUGUGUGUGUGUUGUGUGCGCGCGUGAUUACAUGCAGGGUAACUAGGGAAGGCUUCCUUGGGAAAGUUUUUUUUUUAUAUUUUAGCAGAGACCUGGAUAAAGGGAGGAAGUACACCAUAUGGAACCUGGGGGAAGAGAAUUCCAAGUGAAAUGAGCAGCCAGUGGGGGUGGGAGCUGAGAUGGGCCUGUGCUUGACACGUUUAAGGGGGAGCAGAGAAGCUGGUUAACUUGGGUGUCCUAAGGAAAGAGGAGAACAGGUGUAGUGGGUGGCUCACACCUGUAAUCCCAGUACUUUGGGAGGCUGAGGUGGGAAGAUUGCUUGAGCCCAGGAGUUCGAUACCAGCCUGGGCAAAGGAAGUUAGGUCCGGGAGAUCACCUGCCAGGGCCAGAUGACAGAGGGCUCUUUACUGUCUUGGCCGGGUGACAGCGAGCCAUCGGAGGGAUGGAGAGCAGCAUGUAGCAUCGUCCAGUGUGUGCUUAUGGGAAUCACCCAGCUGCCACGUGUGACUCUCUUCCCGUGGGGGCAGCAGCUACAGGGUGAGCACCGCUAGGAGAUAAUGCCUGGGAAUAUCCUUCUUAAAUUCUUGAAUGUAAAUUCACUUUACAAGGUGCGUCAUUGUGUCCCCUCUCUGGGGACAGCUGUGUGGUGUGGUGGAAAGACGAGGGCAUGUGAAGACAGGGGAACAGUCCUGUGACCCUGGGCAAGUUGCUUCAUUUUUCAAUCCAGUCGCCCAAUUUGUAAAAUAGGGAUUGUAACGUACCCCACGACAAGCCUGUUGCGGGAGUCAGGCAGGAUGAUGGGGGUGAAAUUGCUUUGAUGGUGUGAGGUGCUACAUGCCAGGCUGUGACCUUUAAUAACCACCGAGGGGGUGGGCUUGCUUUGUGCUGUACCCACCCUCCCUUCACCCAGCCUUCACCUCUGUAAGUGGCCCUUCUGUUACAGUCUCUUCAUUUGGACCAGCCAAGAUGAUUUUUUUUUCUGCCAGGAUCCUGGCUGAUAACAACUCUAGUGAAUAUUCAUCCAUUUCCAUGUUUGGGCAUCUGCUGAGGGCCUCUAACUCUAAAUCCCAUUGUUUUCUCUUCUUAAAGACCCAGACUGGUGUGUCGAUUGCCUGUGGGUCUCGUGUUUCGGCACAUUUGGGAGCAGAGGCAAGGACUCCUCUUUUCCAAAGUAUCUUUUUUUUUUUUUCCAGACAGGGUCUCAGUCUGUUACACAGGCUGGAGUGCAGUGGUGCAAUCUCAGCUCACUGCAACCUUUGCCUCCUGGGCUCAAGUGAUCCUCCCACCUCAGCCUCCCAAGUACCUGAGACUACAGGUGCGCGCCACCACGCCCAGCUAAUUUUUGUAGAGAUGGCUUCUCACUAUGUUGCCCAGGCUGGUCUUGAGCUCCUGAGCUCCAGCAGUCCUCCCGCCUCUGCCUCCCAAAGUGCUGGGAUUACAGGCAUGAGCCAUCACACCCAGCCUGUUACACUCUCUUAGAUUCCACAUAGGAGUGAGAUCCUGCGGGAUUUUCUCCCUGUGCCUGGCUUAUUUCACUUAGCAUAACGUCCUCCAGGUUUAUCCAGGCCAUGCAAAUGAAGGAUUUUCUUCUUUUUUAGGCUGAAUACUAUUCAGUUAUGUUAUAUGCCAUGUUUUCUUUAUCUGCUUACCCACUGAUGGACACUUAGGUUGUUUCAUGUCUUGGCCAUUGUGAGCAGUGCUACAAUGCACCUGGGGGGUGGGUGAAGAUGUCUCUUUGACACACUGAUUUCAUUUCCUUUGGGUAGAUACCCAGCAGUGGGAUUGCUGGAUCGUAUGGUAGUUUCAUCUUUAAUUUUUUGAGAAUGUCCGUACAGUUUUCCAUAACGACCGCGCUAAUUCACAUUCCCGCCAGCAGUAUGCAAGGGCUGCCUCUCCUCCGCAUCCUUGCCAGCACGUAUCUUUCCUCUUUGAUAACAGCCAUUCUGACAGGUGCGAGUGGUGUCUCCUCCUUGUGGUUUUGAUUUGCAUUUCCCUGAUGAUUAGUAAUGGAGCAUGUUUUCAUGUGGCGAUUGAUCUUGUAUUCUUACAGCACGUGACAGUUUCAAAACAUGGUCAUAUACAUUCUCUCAAACAUGUGAAUGAAUGUGGCCCUCACUACAGGGUGUUCAGAUGGUUAAUUUUAUGUGUCAACUUGGCCGGGCCUCAGGGUGCCCAGCUGUUUGGUCAAACAAUAUUCUGGGUGUUUGUGUGAGGAUGUAUUGGAUGAGAUUAACGUUUAAGUUGGUGGACUUGGAGUAAAGGAGAUUGUCCUCUGGAAUAUGGGUGGGCUUCAGCCAAUCAGCUGAAGGCCUAAAUGCAGUAAAAGGCUGACCUCCCCUGAGCAAGAAGGAAUUCUGCCAGCCUUUGGACUUGAACCACGACGUGGGCUCUUCCCUGGGUCUCCAGCCUGCUGGCCCACUCUACAAAUUUUGGACUUGUCAGCCUCCAUAAUUGUGUAAGCCAAUUCCUUAAAGCCUGGUUUCUCUCUCUCACUCUCUCUUUCUAUAUAUAUAUAUAUAUAUUCUAUAUCUAUAUCUAUCUAUGUAACUAUAUAUCUGUAUCUAUCUAUCUGUAUUUUAUUGACUCUGUCUGCAGAAUCCUAACUAAUACAGGUGGGUACUAUCCCCAUUUUACAGACAAAGAUUAAAUUGAGUCUCAGAAAUGUGAGCUAUGAAUAAGAUACUUCUUCAUAGCUAGUGAAGAGAACCAAAUCCAAUGCUUCUAGACUUUCAACCUCGCAGGCUUUCCUUCACUGUCUGCUACCUUUGCUACCCCUCUGCUCUAUAAUCUUCAAGGAUUUUUCACUGCUGAAGGCAUCACGCCUGAACUCCUUUCCUUGGCAUUUAGGUGCUGCACAGUAUGGCUGCGUUUCCUCCUCUCCACUCAGGUAUUUCUCCUCAGCGGCACCCCCCUCUGGCACCCACAAGGGAGAAGUAAAGAUCUCCUAGUGGUGGCAGAGCCCAUUAUCCAACCUGGAGAGAAACAGAUCAUUCCGUAGGCUGACGCUAUAAUUAAAGGUUAAAGGUAUAAAUCUGCUGCGCAGAUAUGAUGAAAAGAAAGCAUCUCUUAGACUGGGUAGGACUUUAAAUGUAAGCUCCAAGGUGCAUGUCCCUGCAGCCUGGAGGGCUGGCGCGUAGGUUUCUGACAGGCGCCAGGGGCCUCUGGUAACGGGGGUGCCCAUGUGGCCACUCGCCAGGGCUGCACUGUCUGGUAUGGUAGCCACUAGCAUAUCUGGUUCUUUACAUUUUUUUUUUUUUGAGACGGAGUCUUGCUCUGUAGCCCAGGUUGAAGCGUAGUGGCGUGAUCUUGGCUGCAAUCUCCACCUCGUGGGUUCAAGCAAUUCUCCUGCCUCAGCCUCCCAAGUAGCUGGGAUUACAGGCACAUGACACCACCCCUUUUUGUAUUUUUAGUAGAGACGGGCUUUCACUAUGUUGGCCAGGCUGGUCUUGAACUCGUAACCUCAGGUGAUUCACCCGCCUCAGCCUCUCAAAGUGCUGGGAUUACAGGCAUGAGCCACCAUGUCUGGCCUUUUACAUUUAAAUUAAUGACGAUGAAAUAGAAUUCGAACCUCAGUUCCUCAGGCACAUUGGCCAUGUUGUAAGUGCUGAGAAGCCCCCUCUGCUUGGCUAGUGGCUGCCAUAUUGAAUGUCUCCAUCACUGCAGAAAGUCAAACUGCAAAGCAUUGAAGUAGAGAGACCAGUCCCAAGUAUGGAUCCCAAAGCCCUUGGUCACAGCUGGUUAGUGACAGAGCGAGGACUAUGACAGAGAAGGCUGGGGCGAGAGGAGGCUGAGAGCCACAGACCCUUCCAGAAGGACAAAGGAAGCGUCCUCGUGGUUCAUGGUGAUUGUCUCUGCAAUGCCUGGGGGCCAGAGAGAGUAGCCCCCCGCCUCAGCUGGGAGGUGCCACCCAGGCCACGGCUCCAGCAACCUGGGCUGCAGGCAGAAGUUUGGCUCUGCCCCCACACUCCCGGAGCCCCACCCCAGGAAGGCACAGUGGCAACACCACACUAAAGCUACGACUUCAGUCUGAGGUUCAGUUCAGAGGUACACGUGCAGGAUGCGCAGGUUUGUUAUGCGGGUAAAGGUGUGCCAUGGAGGUUUGCAGCAGAGACCAUCGAAUCACCCAGGGAUGAAGCCCAGCAUGCAUUGGCUAUUCUUCCUGAUAUGCUCCCUCCCCCGACCCCAUUGACCUCUGACAGGCCCCGGUGUGUGUUGGCCCCCAUGAGUCCGUGCGUUCUCCGAGUGCAUUCUCUUCCCACAGCAUUGGUUGUCUUGCUCAAGCCCACUGCUCUCCGCAGACAGCCCGUGAAGCUGGUUUCCAGAUGUACCAUCAAAUUCGAGAUUCGCCAAGAAGCCCCAGAGGCUUGACCGACCUGAAGUCCCAUGGAGUCAGCAAGGAGAUAUUUGGGAUCAAGUUGAAGGUCAGGCAGUUUUUGAAACACUCUCCUUAAGACCAAGUCCUGGUCCAGGGUGGGUCCGUCCUUCUGAACCUGAGUGGGUCUGCGCGUGAGACAAGCCUGAUGAAGACUACUGGAAGAUCGCUGUAUUGGGUUUUCCAGAGAAACAGAAGCAACAGCACGGGUGAGUGUGUGUGUGUGUGUGUGUGUGUCUGUGUGUUAUUGGCUCAUGCAAUUACGGAGGCUGACAAGUCUCAAGAUCUGCAGUCAGCAAGCUACAGACCCAGAAGAGCUGACGGUAUAGUUCCCAUCCGAAGGCCCGCAGGCUUGAGACCCAGGAGAGCCAGCAUUUCUGUUCAAGUCUGAAGGCAGAGACAAGCUGCCGUCCCAGUUUGAAGGCAGUCAGGCAGGAGGAAUUCUCUCUUCCUCGAGGGAGGGUCAAACUUCUCGUUCUAUUUAGGUCUUCAGUGGGUUGGAUGAGGCCCACCACACUGGGAAGGGCCAUCUGCUUUACUCAGUCUGCAGAUUCAAUUGCUCAUCUCAUCCAGAGACACGUUACAGGCAAACAGAACAGUGCUUGGCCAAAUAUCUGGGCCCGUGUGGCCCACACAAGUUGACAGGUAAAAUUACCCACCACAAUUAUGAGGUGUCUUCCUGUGGCCUCAGCUUGCCGGGCUGAGCUAUGAGUGACUCCUGCAGAAUCUAGCUGGGGAUGGAGGAGGUGUCCCUAGGUAUGAAGUGUUUGCACAGCCCAGCUAGAAGGUGAUCAGCUUUGGGACAGGUCGUAAUAUAGCAAUCAGAAUAAUAAGAAAUCUAUCUUGGAAUCUUAUAGGGCUUUGGGAUUUGCAAAGCACUUCCACACCCAUGACCUGGUUUUCCCUUCCCAGCAGUCCUGUGCCUUAUUACUGCCAUUCUACAGAAGAGAGGGCAGGUGUGAAAGGGGUAAGAGUUUCGCCAAGGUUACAUGCGAAGCCAGACGCAGUCAGCUUUCCCCAGGUGCUGGGGAGCUUGGGUGGGAGGAACAGUACAGCUGCAGAGUGUGAGCAGAACCGCAGCGGGCAAGGGGGCAGCCUAGUGUGUGCCACAGGCAGGAGAGAGCCAAGGACACAGCGUGCUGCCGCCUGGCCACAGUGACAAGCAGGGCUGUCACUUAGGCGUGGAGACGGCUGUGGCUGACGGAGCCUGCUGGCAGUGGCAGCUGAGGUCAGAAACCCAGGGCUAGCAGGGAUGCAGCCAGACGGUGGGUGAGGAGCAGCCAAAUCUGUCACUGAGUCAAGGGCAGGCCUGAUGCCUUGGGGAGGAGGCCAGAGAAGCUAGCUGGUGGCAGCCCUGGCUCUGCGGCCCUGUCCUAGAGGCCUGCACUGAGUGCCUGCCCCGGGGGGACGCUGCUCCUGGGCCUUUCCUUACUGACCGUGAAGGGACAGAGAAGGCGGGUGAGCUCAGGACUGCUUCUUUGGCCGAUGCAUCUUUUGGCCGUCCAUCGGCCAGGGUCUGGGUGGUUGCAUCCUGGAAGUCCUCCUUCCUGGCACUGUGCCCAGUGCCAGUGCAUGGGAGACCCUCGAUGCAGAUGUGUGGAGGGAAGACACCAGAAAACCCUACAGGCGGGCAUGUGCCUGGUGCCCGGUGGAGAGUAUGGGAAGGAGAAGAUGCCGACAGACACCAGUUGCCACCUUGGGGGUGGGUGAGCAGGGCCAGAGGCAGAGAGCACUGUGGACUGAGGGACCAUGAGGGCCCCCGAGGAGUGGGGAGAGGAGAGCAGGCCUGGGGGAGACUCCGGUAAAUAGAGAAGAAGGGCCAGAGGGAAAAGAGGGCGAGUGGAGGAGGGGCUCACUCGGCAGGAGAGCUGGGCAGCGUGAACCCAGCCUCCGGGCUGGGUAAGGGAGGUGAGAUGAGGCCACAGCCAUGGAGCGGGAGAAGGGGAAAGGUGAGUGCAGGAGUCCUGAGCGGCUGGCGAAGUUCCGCCCAGUGAAACACAGUCACGUGGAGAAUAAGGGGUUCGGGAAACGGUGGAAACAAUGGGCCUCUCCCCUGCCUUAUGUGGAGGCACAGGCUCCAGUGUCUGACCUGGGUGGGGACAGGGUUCCACUGGACCUGUGUCUCAUGGUGCUGAACCCACAGGUGCCCAGAGCCCAGGUGCUGGCGAGAGGGUCCUCCCUCCAUGGUGUCCUGUGCCCCAGACCCUGAAGCUCCCUUACUCCUGCCCUCCAGUCCUCUUUGCUGACCCUCACAUCUUCCUGAUCCUCUGCCCACACGUGGGCACCCUCCCCUCCUUGCCAGUUUUGCUGACACCAGCUGCUUAGGGCCCCCUCCCUGGGGCUGUCACUCUACCAGCUGUUCUGGUUUACCUGAGACCUUAGAGCAAGAAACAGGCGGUUUUCCUCCUUCACAGUGCCUCAGUGCCCGUAUUGGCUCACAACUGACCCCCGGCCCUUGGGGGAGGUUUUUAUUUUUUUCACUGCUGGAGAAAUGCUUUCCUUUUAAAUACCUAGAAGGACAAGCCUGCAGGAAAUCUCAAGAGUAUACAAUAACUGACUCACGAUGACAUUUCAUUCUGUGGAAGCUCAUGCUUAGAAAUUGGAAGGCCUACCAAACCUUUGAAAGAAAGAACAGAAAGGAAAAAAUAUGUAACCCAUACACAUCUAUAUACACACAAAUAAAUAUAUGUUUCCUUUAUAUAUGUAUGUGUGUGCGUGCAUGUAUUUUUUUACAUAUACAUAUACACACAUAUAUAUUCUAGGGUUCUACAUGAACUUCAACAUCAAAUAUUUCAAGUAACUUUCAGCAAGAAACAAAAUCUUUUUCUUGAAAGAGGAAGUUAGGAAUUGGAAGAGGACAAAGGAGAUACACAGAUUGUUUUAGAGUAACGUGUUCUUUCCCCCACCCAGCUUUAUUGAAGUGUAAUUGGCAAAUAAAAAUGAUAUCUACUUAAGCUGCACGGCAUGAUGCUUUGACAGUGUGUGCGUUGUGCAAUGAUCACCACAGUCGAGCUGAGGAACAUACGCAUCACCGUCAUCCCCUCUGGAGAGUUUUGACCAAGAUACUACACAUAAAGGUGUCCAGACGCUUCCCCACGGCCCCAGUGACUACUCACUCUUCCUCCUAUAGACAGGGAGACGGAGGCUCAGACCCAGGGGAGACCGGUUGGGUCAGUUCAGCAGAGACUUCGUCCCCAGAUUAUUCUUGGGGUUUUGAAUAUUAGGGGUGUGUGAGUGUAUCAGUCAGAGCGCUUCAGAGAAAUAAACCAACAGGCUAUGUGUAUGUGUACGUUUAUUUGCAUGUAUAUGGAGAUUUAUUAUGAUCUCACAUUUGUUAUGAGCCUCACUUUACUCGGCAGGCUGAGGAGCCCCACCCUGUGCUGUCUGCAAGGUGGGGACGAGAAAGGCCCGUGGUGUAAUCCCAGUUUGAAUGCAAAGGGCUGUAGACCAGAAGGAGCCAGGGAAGAGGCAAGGAGACGUCCCAAGCCGGCAGGCAGGAAGGACGAACCCCCUCUGCUGCCCUCACGUUCGACCCAGGCCCUCAAUGAACUGGAUGAGGCCCCCUACAUUGGAGGGCAGUCUACUGCGUCCACUGAUUCAAAUGCGAAUCCCAUCCAGAAAUACCCUCAUAGGCACCCCCAGCAAUAAUGUUGAGUGUGGACACAGCCCUCCCUCACCUGUGCUGGGAGUGGGGCUGCAGUCCUGCCUUGCUCCCCAAAUGAAACCUCCCAGCCUCGAGAGGACUUAGCUACCGGCCCACUCAGAAGGACCUGCGGCUGGGCUGGGCAGAGCAGUGUGGUGGCGGCAGGUCUGCCUGGCCAGGGUUGCAGAGCAAGGAUGGUCACCCCGGCCCUCGGCUCACUUGCUGGGUCUUAGGUGUGAGGAGAGAGGUCUUAGAUGCCUGUUGGUGGUGACCACGGCCAUUCUGCAAAGCAGGAGGGUCAAUCAAACACACCAUUCAUCAGGGGGUCCUUAUGGGCAUUUCUCCGGAUUCUAAUGCUCAGUUUUUAUUUUCUAAAUAGACAUUUACUACUCGUCCCUCUCUGUUGUUUCUGUGGUAAAAGUGGGAUUGUUAACUUGAAGUCCGUCUGAGCUCAGAUAAACUCGUAAGUAGCAGAGGUAGUCACUCGGAAGGGGCUCACAGACUGCCCCGCUCUGCUCAUUUCACACCUGGUCCCAUUUUAGCAAAUCUCAAAGUGGAACAGGUGCGAUUGUAUUCUGUCUUCUAAGGUAACAUCAAUUACAUAGCAGACAUUUUUCAAAGGAUCCAAGUCAUCUUUUACUAUACUCUUUCCUUUAAAGGUGAUGUUUCUCUCUCUCUGCAGGGCAGGGAAAUUAAACCAGUAGCCUGGAGUUUCCCCCAACUUCCAAGCGUUGUUCAGUGCUUCAGGUUGAUGUAGACCUUGUGAAGUGCCUUCCCAGGAUGGAGAAGAGCUGGUUCCCAGCUCCACGGAGAUCACACCAGGAGGUUGUAGAGCACCCGCGGCGCCCCCUGCUAAAGGUCGUUUGGUCCCUGCGGUUACCACCAAUAUUCUACUGUCUGCCGAGAGCAAGGCAUUAGGCUAGGUGUGAAGCCUCCUUCCACCUCUGUGGCUGGCAGACAUCCUCAUUCUAUUUUGCUCCCUGCCUCCCCAAUCUCAGAAAUCCUGACCUGCGGAAAAGACGAAACCUCUCCCAGCCCUCUCUUCAGCAUCUCCACUCCUGGUGAUUCAGAAAGAGCCGGGACAGACCACCCAGUCCCAUCUCCUGCUUCUGGGCUGCACAGACAACGACAGAGCAAGCUCCCCUUGGUCUCAUCUACUCACUGGCUUGCUCUGCCCUGCACAUUAACAGCCAGCAAGAGAGGAAAGAAACUCUGGAAAGAACCCAAAGUGGCCAUUAGAUGAUUGUUAUUAUGUUGGUGCCUGUUGCAAUGAUAUAAAUCUGGGGUCUUAAUAAAAUCCAACAUUUUCCAAUUA